UCAGACACACCUCGGUUCAAAUCUUAGCUUACCCCUAACUAGCUUUGUGACUUUGGAAGGUUAUUUAACCUAAAUUCCACUUUCCUUAUUCGUAAAAUGGAGACAAAAAUGGUCCUUAUCCCAAAGGGUCUUUGGGAGGAACUGGAUGAGGGCAUCAUAAGGCACGGAGCAGAGAUCCCAGCCUGGCUGAGUAAACCAAGGCAUGAUUGUGGGUCUCUUAUGCUUGGCAUCUGGUACAGUGACUAGCACAGAAUGGGUGCUAAACAUUUAUUUGCAAGAUAAAUACUUGAAUAAACUGCAGAGCCUACCACUUAAUAUUGUUUUAGCUUAGCAUCCUGAAGGUGUCUGGGGGCCAAGUAGCUGAUGAAAGAAAUGGAAAAGACAAGCAGAAAUCCAAGAGGGGUCAGGACCAAGAACAGCCAACCAGCCAUGAGCUGCUGACAUUCCUACGGGUACAGCCCCUGCUCCCAGGGCCAACUAAGGCUUGAUGGAUUGUCAAUGGGCACUGAGAUUUUUUUUUUUUCUGCUCAGGUUUAUCAUAGGACUUACUCCUGGAAUUAGAAGCCACUCACUCCCUCACCCACUUGCCUAUCCAUUGGGAAAUCUUUUUGGCUUUACCUUUAAAAUAUAUUCAGAAUCCUCCCUUUCUCUCCCUCUCUUCCUUCUGCCAUUCCUACUAUUCUGGGCUGAGCCAUCAUCAUCUCCCACCUUGAUAAGCAACAGGCUCCUCACUGGUCUCUGAUCCUCCUUCGUUCUCCUACUGUCCGUUCUUAGUACAGCAACUAGAGUAAUCCUUUUACAAGGUCAGAUCAUAUCACUCCUCUGCUCAAACUGCUCAGUGGCUGCCCAUCUCAUGCAGAGUCAAAGCCAGAAGGCCUACAAUGGCCUAUGAACUCUCUACUUGCUCUGUCCCACCCCCUUGCAUUUGACCUCAUCCUAUUCCUUUCUCCCUUGCUUACUCUGCUCCAGUUGCAAGGCCUUCUGCUGUCCUCAAAUGCACAAACAUGCUCCUGCCUAAGGGCCUUCCUCUGAUCAGUCCCCUCCAUCUGGGUGUUCAUCCUUCAGACACUCCCAUGGAGAAGACCCUCAUCUCCUUCAGCUCUCCUCAAACUUCACUUCUUGAUGAGAUCUAUCCUGGCCACGUUGUUAAUUAAUACUGUUUAAAAUCAGAACUGCACCCCUUUAACAUUCUCAAUCCCUCUUUUUUUUUUUUUUCCAGGGCCACACUCAUGGCAUAUGGAGGUUCCCAGGCUAGGGUCCGGAUCAGAGCUGUAGUUGCCGGCCUACCCCACAGCCACAGCAACUAGAGAUCCAAGCCGCAUCUGCAACCUACAUCAGAGCUCACAGGCAAUGUCAGAUCCUUACCCCACUGAUGAGGCCAGGGAUCAAACCUGUGUCCUCAUGAAUAUAAGUCAGAUUCAUUUCCUCUGAGCCACAGUGGGAACUCCAAUUCUCAAUCCCUCUUAUCUCUAUCAUUAAAGAUUUAUUUAUUCUAUUUUUAUUGGUUGUAGUUCCCCUAGAAUAUAAGUUCCAUGAGGGCAGGAAUUUUCAUCUUUUUAUCAGCAGUGUAUUCCAAGCAUCUGGAACACUGGCCAACCCAUAGCAGGUACUCAGUAAAAUUUGUUGAAUGAACCAAUUACCUAACAUUUUAUAAUCCAAUAGUCUCUCUCCCUGUCUCAGAAUCUACCUCUUCAUGAAUAUGCCAGGAAGCUGACCACCUCCUUGAAGUCUCUGUGCCGGUAUCUUAGAGUCUAUAAAGGAAACUAAGGGAGAAACCACCCUCUCCCCAGGGGAAUCCAAGGACACACCCAGCUUCAGCUGUACCUUCUGGGCCAGGAAUGACCUCACUGAGGGUGGAACAGUCUAGCACUGAACUGUUCAAACUCUUGAUUUUUUUUUUUUUUCCUUUCCUCUGCUUUGUUUUUGCACCAGCAUUACUGACAAGAUCUGCAGAACUUGAGCACAGGGGUGGAGAA
rnacentral:lncRNA from 1 species